rnacentral:rRNA from 1 species
AGAGCGAACGCUGGCGGCAGGCUUAACACAUGCAAGUCGAGCGGGCGUAGCAAUACGUCAGCGGCAGACGGGUGAGUAACGCGUGGGAACGUACCUUUGGUUCGGAACAACCCAGGGAAACUUGGGCUAAUACCGGAUAAGCCCUUACGGGGAAAGAUUUAUCGCCGAAAGAUCGGCCCGCGUCUGAUUAGCUAGUUGGUGAGGUAAUGGCUCACCAAGGCGACGAUCAGUAGCUGGUCUGAGAGGAUGAUCAGCCACAUUGGGACUGAGACACGGCCCAAACUCCUACGGGAGGCAGCAGUGGGGAAUAUUGGACAAUGGGCGCGAGCCUGAUCCAGCCAUGCCGCGUGAGUGAUGAAGGCCCUAGGGUUGUAAAGCUCUUUUGUGCGGGAAGAUAAUGACGGUACCGCAAGAAUAAGCCCCGGCUAACUUCGCGCCAGCAGCCGC